UACGUAGGGUGCAAGCGUUGUCCGGAAUUAUUGGGCGUAAAGAGCUCGUAGGCGGUUUGUCGCGUCGAAUGUGAAAACCCGGGGCUCAACUCCGGGCCUGCAUUCGAUACGGGCAGACUAGAGUUCGGUAGGGGAGACUGGAAUUCCUGGUGUAGCGGUGAAAUGCGCAGAUAUCAGGAGGAACACCGGUGGCGAAGGCGGGUCUCUGGGCCGUUGCUGACGCUGAGGCGCGAAAGCGUGGGGAGCAAACAGG
rnacentral:rRNA from 1 species